CGUGUCCAAGGAGACGCUGAUGUCCAGGUUCUCACACAGAGGCGUUUGAUCAGAGUCCGGACACCAACGUAACUAAAAAAAUGUUGUUACACCAACUGUGAAUAUGCACAUUUCCACCAGAUGGACGUGGUGUUUGCUCCAAAAUGCGCCACGCCUUUGCAAAGUUUUUCCCCCAAUCGUCGCCAAUCUCUUGGAAUAACACGUCUCUCGUGUAAAACAGUCAUCGGUGCAAAAACCCGCCUGGGAGGAACUGGGAUGGACACCACGUCUUCAUACACUACAUGGUUACUCAGAAGGACAAAGUAGACAAAUAUCACAAAGUACCACCACACACAGAGGACCCGGUGGACGUCGUUAGUGUGGGGGAGGGUUAAUGUUAGAACGAGUGCAUGUUUUCAUGUGUUGUACACACACACACGCACACACACACACACACGCAAGUUGUGCCCUUAUUAAAAUGCCAUAGCCCGUCUGUGCAGCAGUCUCAGAGCUUCAUAUCUUAAUCAUGACACGUUUCCGUCUCUCGUUUCAUGGCUGCCUCGAUGUCUCGCUCCGUCCGUCUGCCGGGUGAAAAAAAAACAAACUCAAAUGUCCCCCGUCUCACGAUCUGCAAAAUAAGUUCCUGCGUGUCAUUUAUUUAUGCUUUUCGAACAAUCCUCGGCGUCCCCCCUGUGGGAUUCCUGGUGACUGUUUGUCUCUUUUGGAUGACACAAAUGAUGACCGUGGCAACGUGCUUUAAUGGUCACAAAAUGUGAAACACGUUCUCAGUUGCAGUUACAUGCGUCGUGUCAGCUUCCUGAGAGCCGACGCAACGGAGACCCGUUGAGAGGGAGAACGUGUGGGAAUAUGAUGGAGGGGCCCUCAGUGCUGACCGCCUAUGAACCCAUGUGGGGGCUUUUUAACUGCGAGACGCAGGUAAAGAUGGCAAAUGGCCUUUUUCGUCGAAACAUUUUCUCUUCAUUUCUUGUGCACAAAUAAAAAAUGCACUAAACUCGCUUCAACGCUUUCGGCUUUUUGCAAAACGAUUUCAGUGUGUAACUCUCAGAAGGGAAAAGAAAUAAAAAUAAAAGAAAUACAGGAACAAAUUAAACGAGGAGGGAUAGAGGUUAGAGAGGUAAACCCACGUGAUAGGGAAUCGAAGACAAUUAGAUGGAGGCAAGAGGGAAGUAAAGUGGAGAGAGGAGGAGAUCCAGAGGGAAGGUUGGGAGGAAAGUAGCCUAAAGGGGCAGACGGACCCCUGACGGAAAACAGAAAGAAAGAAAUAGUGGAAAGUUCCUGCGUGUCAUUGAAAAUAGAGAAGUUGAACGGCUCUGAAAUGUUGAAGUGAGCUGUGACGCGCACACACACACACACACACACACACACACACACACACACACACACCAGCAUAAGCUACAGCGAUGGUUUCAGUGGGGUUGUCCUCUUGCUGAACCCACAACCACACACACACACACACACACACACACAUGGUUCUCAUGGUGUUCGGGACACUCCGGUGGGGACGAGCUGUCAUCGCCAUGGUUACUGUCGGAGUUAGGACAGAGAACACACACCAGCGUCCACCAAGCACACUGAAACUAAAGCCCUAAGUUAUGUUGGUAAUGUGAAGAUGUGUGCGUGUGUCCAUAAUGAAUUAGUUCUCUCUCUCUCUCUCUCUCCCACUCGGGCUCAGCGUCUCUCUCUCUCUCUCUCAGUUGGUCCUCCUGUUUGUCCGGUGCCAGAGCGCGGUGGCCAGGUUCUGGCAGCCUUGGUACUCCCGUCGCAUCUCGCCCUCCGUCAGAGGCGGCGUGGCGUUGCACGGGGCGCCGGCCAGCGUCACGUUCAGAAGGCCGGCCCACGGCUCCAGAAGGCGGGACGUCCCGGUGCC
ensembl:lncRNA